CUCCUCAAACUAGUGUUGAGGGUUGGUGGGCUGCUUUACUCAGUUGAUUAUAAGCAACCAAGGAACAGCAACUAUAACUUUCAGUGUUGCUACUCCCUGUCUCGAGGACCUAGAUCAGCCUUUCACAGGCUGUGUCACCAUGGUUACUGUAAGAUAACACAUCUGUCGAGGCCACCCAUGUUCUUGGGCAGAGUGGCCGGCACACUGAGCAUCAUACACAUCUGGCUCUUCCCACAACCUGAAGGGCCUAUCACCUGAAGGAGGGAAAAGAGGUUUGUGAAGUUAUUUUUACCAUAAUCAUCAUAUAAAUGAUUGUUGUACUAAGGAAGGUGUGUAACUUCUGACAUUCAUUUUCUCUUUCUCUAUCUCCUUCACCAUUAUAAUCCUCACCACCACCACCACCAUCUCUGUACCUAAGAAAGGUGGGAAUGUUUGUUGGGCUACAGACGGCUAUAUCGGUCCCCACUAAUAAAGGACUAGUAAAGGCCCAGUGCACUACAUUUGGGAAAAAAAUGUAUAUUUAAAUGUUUUGUAUUUUUAAAAAAAUGAUUUUUCAAAGCAUGUCCAAAGUCUUUAGUGUUUUUCAUUUACUUAUGUUUUUCAUGUUGAGGCUAUGUAAUGUUUCUAGUCUCAUAAAGCAAUCUGGUUUAAUUU